GACAAACGCUGGCGGCGUGCCUAAAACAUGCAAGUCGAACGAUCACUUCGGUGGUAGUGGCGGACGGCUGAGUAACACGUGGGUAACCUACCCUGGCGUGGGGGAUAACCCGCCGAAAGGCGGGCUAAUACCGCAUACGAUCACUGGUCUCUGGGCUGGUGAGGAAAGCAGUGAUGUGCGCUAGGCUGGGCCUGCGGCCGAUUAGCUAGUUGGUGGGGUAAGGGCUUACCAAGGCGAUGAUCGGUAGCUGGUCUGAGAGGAUGAUCAGCCACACUGGGACUGAGACACGGCCCAGACUCCUACGGGAGGCAG
rnacentral:rRNA from 1 species